rnacentral:rRNA from 1 species
GCCCGGCCGUUAAUACGGAAAGGUGGGAAAGCCGUUUGAUCCGGAAAUUACUUGGGCGUAAAGCGGCGCGGAAAGCGGGUUCCUUAAGUUCUGAUGUGAAAUCCCCCGGCUCAACCUUGGAAGUGUCAUUGAAAAACUGGGGGACUUGAAUUUCGUAAAAGGGAAAGUGGAAUUCCCUGUGUAACGGUGAAAUGCGUAAAUAUGUGGAGGAACACCAGUGGCGAAGGCGACUCUCUAGGUCUGUAACUGACCCUGAGGCGCGAAAGCGUGGGGAGCAAACAGGAUUAGAUACCCUGGUAGUCCACGCCGUAAACGAUGUACUGCUAACCGUUAGAGGCUUUCUACCCUUUAGGGCUGUAGCUUAACGCAUUAAUCACCCCCCCUGGGAAUUACGCUCCCAAGUUUGAAACCUCAUAGGAAU